AAACGACUCUCGGCAACGGAUAUCUCGGCUCUCGCAUCGAUGAAGAACGUAGCGAAAUGCGAUACUUGGUGUGAAUUGCAGAAUCCCGUGAACCAUCGAGUCUUUGAACGCAAGUUGCGCCCGAAGCCUCGGCUGAGGGCACGUCUGCCUGGGUGUCACACAUCGCGUUGCCUCCAGAUCCUUCACCCCUCGACCGUUGCGGUGAUGAUCCGGAUGCGGAAGCUGGCCUCCCGUGACCGCGCGUCGCGGAUGGCCAAAACACGUGCUGGGGGAAGCGAAGCGCCACGGCAUUCGGUGGUCGAUCUAAGCCCCAGAAGCAGUGCCGGCGGUGGCCGCAUAUGUCCCCAGCCCACGACCCUAAACGUUAACCGACGCGACCUCAGGUCAGGCGGGGCUACCCGCUGAGUUUAAGCAUAUCAAUAAGCGGAGGAAAAGAAACUAACAAGGAUUCCCCUAGUAACGGCGAGCGAACCGGGA
rnacentral:rRNA from 1 species